rnacentral:rRNA from 1 species
AUUGAACGCUGGCGGCAGGCCUAACACAUGCAAGUCGAGCGAGCGGCGGACGGGUGAGUAAUGUAUGGGGACUGCCCGAUAGAGGGGGAUAACUACUGGAAACGGUGGCUAAUAACGCAUACCAUCGGAUAACCCAUAUGGGAUUAGCUAGUUGGUGGGGUAAAGGCUCACCUAGGCGACGAUCUCUAGCUGGUCUGAGGGGAUGAUCAGCCACACUGGGUCUGAUACACGGCCCAGACUCCUACGGAGGCGACGUUGGGGAGUAGUGCACAAGGGGCGCAGGCCUGGUGCGUCCAUGCCACGUGGAGUAAAAGGGCCUUGGGUUUGUAAAGUACUUUCUGCGGGAAGGCGUUAUCCGCAGAAGAAGCACCGGCUAACUCCGUGCCAGCAGCCGCGGUAAUUC